rnacentral:misc_RNA from 1 species
UAUUGUCAGCUGAAUUGCCAGAGGACUGGAAGUUGGCACGAGUUGUUCCUAUAUUCAAGAAAGGUGACAGUCUAGUACUACAAAAUUAUCGACCGAUCUCCUUAACAUCAUCAUGCGGAGGAGGCUGCGUCGCGAUGAAGCCCCGGAGCAUGUGUGCGUCGGCGCUGGCGCUGGCGUUGCUGCUGCUCUACCUGUGCGCGGUGCGUCAAGUGCGCGGACAGUCCGGCACGCCGACGGGGAAGAAGCGCUCCGAGGAGUACACCUACUUCAACCACGAGGAGAUGACCAACUUCCUCAAGAAGGUCUCCACAAACUACCCGGACUUCACGCGCCUCUACAGCGCGGGAAAGUCCGUGCAAGGUCGUGACCUAUGGGUUCUGUUGGUGACGAAAGAUCCCCAGGAGGAGACGCUGCUCAAGCCCAACGUCAAGUACGUUGCCAACAUGCACGGCAACGAGGCGGUUGGCCGGCAGCUGAUGGUGUACCUGAUCGCGCACCUCCUGACGCGCUACAACGUGGACCCGUACGUGCGCUACCUGCUGGACAACACGCGCAUCCACAUCAUGCCCAGCAUGAACCCCGACGGAUACGAGAUCUCCAAGGAGGGAGCUUGUACCGGCACACUGGGACGGUACAACGCUCGUGGCGUGGACUUGAACCGCAACUUCCCAGAUCACUUCAAGACUCAGACGCAGCAGCAGCAGCCGGAGACAGAGGCCGUGCGGCGCUGGAUCCACCAGAUCCCGUUUGUGCUGUCCGGAAACAUCCAUGGCGGUGCCGUCGUAGCCUCGUACCCAUUCGACAACUCGCCUAACGCCGUGUUUCACACGUAUAACAAGCCUUCGGUGACCCCGGACGACGACGUGUUCCAGCACAUUGCCAGCGUGUAUUCCUUCAACCACGCCAACAUGUACCUGGGCGCGCCCUGUUCCUCAGAUCGGCAAGCGUUCCCCAACGGCACCACCAACGGCGCGGCAUGGUAUCCCCUCGCAGGUGGCAUGCAGGACUACAACUACAUCUGGGAAGGCUGCAUGGAAGUGACGUUCGAGAUCUCUUGCUGCAAGUUUCCGCAUCGCCGCGAGCUGCCCCGCUUCUGGGACGACAACAAGCAAUCACUGCUUGCCUACUUGGGAGAGGUGCACAAAGGCGUACGAGGCAUUGUUAUGGAUGAGCGCGGCAACCCAGUGGUCAAGGCUUUCCUGCGUGUUUCUAAUCGCACUAUCGGCUUCAAGACCACAUCCAGAGGGGAGUACUGGAGGAUCCUCAGGCCUGGUCGUUACACGCUUGAGGUCUCUGCGCCCGGUUUCCACACGGCCAAGCAAGACUUCAUCGUGCUCGAGCAGCAGAUCUCCAUCCUGAACGUGACGCUCAAGUCUUUGCACGAGGAACCCGAGGAGCCCGAGCAGCUCCAGCCCGAACAGGACUCGGCACAAAGCGCAGUGCCGCCACCUACGGUAACGCCUGCUCCGAGCAACGGAACCUCCUCACGCUCUUCUCUUUCUACUAACACCACUACCACCAGCUCGCGCCCUCGUACCACUACUGCCUCCAUCAAUGACGUCACCGGAACGGUACAGUCCCGCGCGGCAGCUGUCGCGAGGCGCAGUGGCGCCGCCGACGGCAAGGUCAUGGAGGCCGGUGACGUCAGGGAGGCUGGAGGGUACCGGAACCACGGACCUCGUGAUGAUGGUCCCCGGUUGGAGUAUCACGCGGACAUUUUUGUUAUGGAAGUCAGGUCGGGCGCCAACGAUGUGCCAUCGUGUUUUACUGAAGCGUGGCUGUUCACAAUUUCAGCGCUGGUUUUCGUGUGGUCUCGUCUCCUCGGUGGCCCUUAAGAUGCGAUAUGGUACAGCCUGAUAUUUGCCACAUUUAAUGCUUUGCUGACUAGUGUUCAGCCGAAGAUCGGCCGUUGUAACGAUCCGGGAUGAGGUGAUAUCACCUACUAGGUGCCUGCCGCGGUGGUCUAGUGGUUACGGUACUCGAAUCCUGACCCGAAUUUCGCGGAGUGGCAUCCCGGCCGCGGCUGUCACGUUUCGAUGGAGGCAACGUGCUAGAGGCCCGUGUGCUUAAAUUUAGGGGGACGUUGAACAACCCCAGGGGGACGAAAUUUUUGGAGCCCUCCACUAAGGCGCCUCUCAAACUCAUAUCGUGGUUUUUGGGCGAGAAACCCCAACAGUUAUAUUACCGACUGCACGGAUGCCUAAACGAGCACAGGAAAUAUUAAGCAUGAUAGAUUAUACGGCAUUACUAUCGUAUAAAUAGGAAGCCGUGUUUACACGAUAAUGCUAGUAAAUAGACAUUGCUCAACAGUGAGGUGCCGCAAAAAUAUAUGAACUUUUGUAACACCCCUCCGGCACUAACAACAAAUACCACUGUGCCAUGCUAAACAGUAUUAUGCGCAAAGUAGCCGAUGCAGUGUUCAUAAUGUAGAUACCCUCGUGCUUAGUUUAGGUCUCAUGCGAAUGCUUGCUUGCGUCUUCGAAAUGUACAAUGCGCUCCUCCAUAGCGUACGCUGUGGGUAGGGAGGUAUGUGCGACUAUAUUCCAGCUUAAUUUUUACUACUACACGGACGCUGCUCUAGGGACUAAAAUUAAGGGGACGCUAGAUUUCUGCAUUUCACGUGUGUUUGUUCAUUUAUCUAUAUUAUUUCUGUGUUUCAGUCGUGUGUUUUGUUGAUUCUAGUCCACAUCUCAGGGUAAUGAUUGAUGCAAGGUGCUGCUCGAAAGCGCAGUUAUGAUUUUCAACGUCUACUUACAUUGUGUACCUGAACACGUGCUAAAGACUGCCAAUUUGCGUAUGUGCAAAUACGAACGAUAUGCACAUCGGGAUUAAGAGUGUAGGCUGUGUACUUAGGUUGAAUAGGAAUACAAUGUAUCACUUAGAACAAAGAAUCUAAAUGACUUUUACCCAAAGAUGUGUAACUGUGGCGGGAAAUGCAUCCCGGUGCUACGUGUGGGCAAAACAUCCUGUGCAUAUAAAAGGAAAAUAUCGAAUAGCUCAGAAAGCAUACAGCUCUCUAAACAUAUUGAUCAUUCUAUUCCUGAGCACAUUGAGGACAUUACAUGUUGUGGCUUUCCUUCGUUGAACCCUCACAACUUACAAGGUUUGCUGUCGCCUAAAUAAACUAUGGCUUAUUUGAUCACGUUAAAAUAACAUCAAAGUGCAAAAUGUUAGUCUUGUCACUCCAGGCGCCAUUUUAAAUUACCUCAGAGCAGCCUAACCAAUUACCAUCAGUUUAUUAGAGCCACAACUGUUGCUUGCUGUAUAGUGUGAGAAUGAGUUUGGAAAGGCUUGACACAAAAGAGCGCUGAUAACAAACAAGUACUCCUAUUAGCAAACACGCUUCCCUGUCAUGUUACAAAACGUAAAAGCAAAAGUUGACAUGCGUCAGUUUGAUGACGAGGUGAAUGCGCAACUUCAGCUUACAUGCACUUCAUCAUCUACUUCUAAUCACUCUUAAAGGGACCGACAACCGAUUUUCCUCGACCAAGUUUUUUACGGCGCAAUAGAAAGCUCACCCUUCAUAGUGCUUGUAGUUGCAGCGGUUAAUCCCAAAAGCACUUGAUUAUUUUAUUAGCAGUAUUUCUCGAUCUGGAAAGCCCCUGAACUGUACGCAGAUGUCCUCCAGCAACGCUAUGAAGCGAUAGCGAUGCCAAUAGCCUUCCUCGCAUUAUGCUCAAGGUUUCGCUUUAACAGGAGUGGGUGAAACUGUGAUUAACCACCUUAAUAUUGACAUUUUCGACCGUUUUGGAAUCUAAAAAGCAGGUAGAAUAAGUUUUCCGAACGCUCGUCGUCAUGUGAGAUCUCUUUACCGCCUCGUGAGCUGGGCGCUCGUGGCCUCCGCAAUUAUUUCCGGCAGUGCGUCGCCGGAGGUAAUCGCGGAGGCCGCGAGGCGCUCUUCGUACUUUUUCAACUCGUCGGCAGGUGCCGCUAGGCCUUCAGCUAACAACGUUCAUGCUGCCGCUCAUGAGCAUCGGGUCGUACGUCAAGCGAAGGCGGCGCCGCUGUUCUGCUCAGUGUAAACAAAUGCAUAUCUGCACGUUUUACAUUAGAAAAAAUUAUAAUAAAAAGCGUGCUGUAUUUCAACACUAAUAUGGCGACAAUUAAUUGCAUACACCAGUAAAAGGUUACGUGAUAGGUACAUGUGCACGUUCAGUUUUUUUUGCCGCCAGAGGCGCCAAAAGUACUAUUCAAAACUAAUUUUCAAAAGUAAUUUUCCUGUAGUAAGAUAGAUUUAAUCGAAGUAGAGGCAUUAGCCCAACAUUUAAAAAAAAGAAGGAAAAAAGGAAAAAGAUUUUUUUUUGUCGAGCCUGGUGGCACACUUGUAACUGUUAUAAAGGGGACGCUCACCGCAUCCAUUCACCCAGUUAAGAAAUCAAAAUAUAAAUCCGUGUUUAAUGAGAAAAACAGGGUUCGUUUUAGACAAUACAAUGGACAACCCUUCUAUUAGUGGGGUUAUCUCAAUUCGUGUUAUGAACGGUUGUCGGUCCCGCUAAUUAUUCAUUCUGUGUGUUGGUUUUUCUCUGUGACAGUGAACUGUCUGUGUGCCCUUUCCUUAAACUUCUUUUUCUCUUUGUUUCUCUGUUUUUGUUUCCGACUGAACCACAGGUGGCACCCCAAGAGAAUAAGUUAGACGCCAUAAGACAAAUUCUACCACAGCCACCUUUGCCACCUCGCUUCUACUUUAACGGCUUCAAAUCGCUACCACUGGCCAAUAACAACCCGUUCGAGUUUGCACAACCGCUACGCCACUGACCUAGCUCCUCUGUUGUCUUUUCUUUUCGCUCUGUGUCAUCAUGAUUUCGCCUCACAUGCGCCAGCCCAUGUUCAUUGCUGAUUUUUUUUUUUUCGCCAUCAUGUCAUGUUUGUUCGCUGCGAGUCUCAGCAGCUCAGACAGUAUUUUAAGCUGAACGCACGUACGUCACAGCCUCCUUCUGCGUUAGUUUUUUUUUCCUGCUUCAGUUCAAUACAUUUCCACGUGAAUAUGUGUAAGUGUCGCCCACGUGCAAGUUCCAGGCUUGCCACAGGUAAAUCUUACGCGUUAUGUCUCUUAGAGAGAGCGGUAUUUUUGCUUUUGGGAAGUGGCGAUGAUUGCCACAGGCCAAUAACUCUCGUUAGGUAUUAAAACCAACAAAUUUAUUAGCGAAUAAGAGUUUGAACAGUUCAUAUAGGACAUGCAGCUUCCUGUUUACUGGCCAAUAUUUUUUUAGCAAAGUAGGCUUUCAGGAAAAUGGAAUUGCUUUACAUAGCAGAGACUUGUAACCCGUACCGUGAGACUGCUUCCAGACGCACAAUAAAUCAUAAUUUCAAGAUGCACUUUCAUAGUCAUAGGCCCAUCGCCAUCACCAUCGUCAUUGUCGUUUGUUACGUGUAAUUAUUUUUGACAGUAUGCAGCACGCCUGGACACAGUGCACCUCCUGUUUUUUUGUUUUUUAUCUUCUCAAGUAUUGUCGGAGAGGUUGGCCUUCUCGAAAGGUAGCAUUAUGAAACUUCUUACAGGCUCUUUUUAUCGCUUCUCGCGCGUUCUAUUCUCUUUUUUAUACCAAUCAUUUCUGCUUUCGUGCACGUGUGAGUACAGCAUGUCAUCAGCACAUGGCCUUUUCUUAAUCUCUGUUUUUUUUUUCUCGCUAACACGGUGACGGUGUUCGCAGCACCCUUUUUGUCUCUGCUCUACUGUCAUCUCACUAAUAAACUUGAAACACCCACUUCCUCUGUUUCAUUUCUUUCUAUUUUUACGCGACAUCCAUUUAUAGACAUCAACAAAUUUAGGAAACGGCAGGAGCACUGAACAAGACUGUCGACGAGCAUUGUUCGAGUAACGGCACAGUAAGUUGAGAAGCAUCCACGUAGCUAACCAUUCGAUCUGUAUUCUCGCUGCUGCGUUGUGCUGCUCGGCGAUAUCGACGUGAGGUGGUAAUGCGUGGUGCCCGCUUUGGCUUCGACGCCUACCAUCUCACCUCGAUGUCUGCAGUGAAAAUGCACGCUGCUUUGGUCCUUAUAACUUACCGGGCGCUCAUUCAGAGAAAAAAUUGCCUGAUUUUUCUGAAGCCGCACGUACUAUGUUGCGUUUAUUCAGCAAGAAUGCUCAAGUCAUUCUCAUAAAGCAACAAAAGAUGAGCAGUCAUGUUUGCUGCUUAGUGCGAAAAAAAUCUAGCCCCGCUGAAGUCACUCUUUCAAUGCUCCCACAGCGAUUAGGUAUUUUUUCUUAACAUCAGUCCUUUCCGAAUCUCGUACGCGUCAUUUUAGUACGCGACAAUUGCUCAUGCUUGGGAGCCAGGGAUAUGAUAGUGAACGUAGAACGCAUAAACGAGACUCUUGUGAGUGCUCCUGUCGUGUUUGCUUUUGGCAACGCACACGCUGGCCAAGUGCCGAAGCUGCGUGUUUCAUUACUAACACGCUCCCACACUUCACGGAACAUCGCCGACAGCCGAUAGCCAUCAAAUCUUUCUGGGUCGGAGAUUCACUGGACAUCCACUGACCACGAAAAGGAGCCCUCUGGUGUCUCAUGGUGAAGAUAUUCUCGGAGGAAGAGUUCCUGCAUCCGGACUCGUCGGCGUUAAGCUUCUUCCUGGCGCCAUCGUCACUUCAGAGAGCACCUUCCAUGUGGAACUCCAUAAAGUCCGGUUUUGGAAAUCUCUUUGGGAACUUCGGCUGAGUGAAUUCAUGAGAAUGCACCAAGUCCACGACACAACAGCCGCGAGCAAAAGAGAGAAAAAGCCGGGCACUUAUGGGACGAACCACGCUUGACGAGUGAAAGCGGGGACUGCGCGAGAAUUCGCAGCCGACCUUCCUUCAGCUGUGCUCGAGGAGGGCGCGUGUUCCGCGAUGUGUUUUAGACAAAUAAGUUAUCCCGCUUAGCAUGCUGCUGCCAACCAUCGCCUUUCAGGAAACCUGCGGGGCUGUAGCGGGCCCACUCUGCGCAACUUCAGCACCGACGAUAUAGCAUUCCACACAGCGGUGGUCUACCUUGUCUAGGAGACCACGAACCAUAGAGUUUCACACAAAUAUCUCCAGUAGCCGUCACAAGCUUCGAUAAUUCAACCACGCUGGGCAGGAGGGGGGGGGGGGGAGUACACAGUGGUCUCCCCUAGUGUUCGCUGAAAACCUGCUUUCUUGUGAACUUAUUUCUUAUGAACUGGCCAUUGUACAUCCUUAUAUCCAUCAAACUGUUCUUUAACACCUUUUUUUUUUGCCUUUGUCACUAGCAUCUAAGGGUGCCUUAGUCCUUAAUUUCAGAAACUAAAGUAUCUGAAAUUUAAUCUCAUCGAUAUCAUCGAAAGAAUGAUCAUUGGUCACAUAAUGUGCUUCACUGAGUCCCGCUAUUUUAAUAAUGAUGAUUUAGGUUGGAUGUAUGUCUUGUUUUGUAAUGUUCUUUUAAAAUAUACGCUGUUGAUGCUCUAAAAACGGUUGAAUCGAUCCUUUCGGGGGUGAAAUUUAUCAGCAUGGAACAUAUUUGUGAAUACAACGUCCCUUUAAAACUAAGAGGCCACCCAUCUACUUGAAGCAAGCAAUGAAAGCCAUGCACUAAACCAGGGGCGUAUCCAGAAAUUUUUUUCGGGGGGGGGGGGGGGUUCAACCAUACUUUAUGUAUGUUCGUGCGUGCUUUUGUAUGUGUGCGUGCCUAUACGCAAGCAAAAUUGAAAAAUUUCGGGGGGGGGGGGGGUGGCUACGCCCCUGCACUAAACCUUCCCCAAUGAAGCUCCUGCGGAUUCAAGAAUCGAAUUUCCUUCCGGUGAUCGUUGUAUGAAACUCUAUAGUGACAUUAAUUGAAUUUAUACGGCACUCGGUCUUUCCGACCUUCACAUGUGCAACAGUUGUGCUUAGCUUCUUGUUUUCUCGCCCGAUGGCAACGGUUGGCGACCCUCUAAGAGCUGGAUUCGCGUGCACUGACGGAGUCGCAGUUCGUGACAGAAUUAUUUGUUCGUGCGAGUUCCUGCAGAGGAAAAUUUGAGUCGGACUUGACGAAUGAGUCGCACAGUGUUAUGUUUUGUGCCGUUAGAACGCAGUCAGUGGUUUUAUCUUUGCACAUCAUCUGUCCUUCUUUUUUUGUUUGCUUUAAGGCCACACAAACCGCAUAGUGUGUGUCAGUGUUCUUAUCAUGAAUAGUGAGUCACCUUGUUACAAUAAAGAGAGAAGAAUCUCGCCA